CUUUGCAAUACAUUGAUUUAUUUGUGCAUGCAGGGUGGUAAUUAGUUCGUCUUUAGCUCGUUAUUAGCUAUGCGAUGGUAGUGCUUAGUGGUUAGAAAUAAUUUCAGACGACAGAUGUAGCAUUUAUACUAGUUUUUUAGAAGAGUAGGUUGAAGAUGUUGUAUCAAUGUUAGGUGCGUCCAUUAUAUUGACAUGCGGGAAAUCUUAAUACGGUAAUUAAGAAAAAAUUGUACUGUAAUUGUUCAUUGCAUGUGGUACGUUAUUUCAUGUGGUAUGUUUAUUAAUAAGUCUAUAGUUAGGAAACCGUAGGUCUACUUUGUUAUGUCGCAAUAAUCUAAAUUUUAUAUGUUAAGAUUAGGUGCUAAUGUACUUAAUGAUGUAUGUAAUUAGGUAAAAUAAUUCAUCUUAGUAGCAAACAAGGAGGAGAUGACGUGAUUGAAGAAAUUGUGUAUCCAUCUUGGCUGUCCCUUUUAAGGUUGACUCCGUUCAUAUAGCACUGGUGACGGAUAUUUAUUGGAACUAUUUUGACGCUUAAUUGCAUUCGCAAGCACAUCCAUAUUGGAGCUAAGGAAUAAAAUGAUGCCGUAAUUUUGAUAAUAUUUUUUGUAUUGAUGUACAAUUGUGAAUAAUGUGCAU